GCGUUCGCGCACUAAGACGAUAAAGAAGAAGACCGCAGUGUCAAGUUGUAUCAAAGUGAAGAGGUUCCCAAAUUCCUUGCAGUAAUGAUUGAAAGGAAGAAGAAAAGAGCCAGAAAGAAGGAGAGUUAUUUUGAGACUGUAAAAGAUGUAGAAAGUACGCAUGAAGAGAAAGUUAGGGUUUCUCCUUAUUUUCAGACUCAGAAACCGGAAAUUGACAGUAUUUCUAAUUCUGCUCUUCAAGAUUGGAAUGGGGAAAAGGGGAAAAAGAAGAAGAAGAAGAAGAAGAAGAAGAAUAAGAGACUCAUUUCUUCGACUUUUGUUGAAAAUGAUACAAUUGCCCCUGUUCUUCUUGGAAAGAAACCAGAGAAUUUUGUUAAUGCGGAAGACAGGGAGAAGAUAAAGAGGAGGAAAAGGGACAAUGGUCCUAUUCAGUCAGACGGGGAUAGGGAUUUGGGGAUGAAAGAACAAGUAAAUGCGGCUCCUAAUACGAUAAAGAGUUUCGAAGACAUGCUUGCGAAAUUUGUAUACAGAGGAGGCGUUGUUAGGGACAAGAAGAUUCCAAAGCCACGAGUUUGCUCUCCCUAUUUUGUAAAAGUUGAGAAAAAUGUGGAGAGAAAGAAAGAGGGUGACAAUAACAUGAAGAAGGAAGUAAAGGGCAUGGCUGCUAUAAUUGAUGGAAACUUGGAAAGUCAAGUGUUAGAAAUUGGGGAUAUAUCAACCACCGGGAGACCAACGGAGAUUGAAACACAUGCACAGCAGCAAGUCGGAAUCAAUGAGAGAGAGCUAAUGAAAAUCAAACCUCUGAAACCAUGUGGAAGAGCUGGUCGUGCAGCUAAAAAUAUUUCCCCCUACUUCCAGAAGGUACCCAAGGAAGAAGAAGAUGUGGAUAACAGGACUGACAAUGAAUAUAGGCCGAAAAAAUCAUCAAAGAAGUGCAAAAAUGCAUCUGUAGGUGCUGAUCCCACUGUUGGAUAUGUCUCCCCCUACUUUCAUAAGAUACCCAGAAAGGAAGAAGCUAUAGACAACAACCACGAGCAGAGGAAGACAUCAAGGAAGAGAAAAACUGGUGCUACAAUUCAAAAUGUGUCGCCAUACUUCAAGAAGGUAUCCAAUGAACAAGAAGCUGAAGCUAGCAGCUUGAUUGACGGCAAACGUAAGCGGAAAAAGUCAUCAAAGAAAAACAAAGAAGAACCAUGUGAAAUAGCUGGUCCUACAGUUCGAAAUGUCUCCCCCUAUUUCCACAAGGAAGAAGCAGCAGAUAGUAACAAUGGGCAAAAACAGUCAUCAAAGGGAAGAAAAAGAUCAGCUAGGACCAGCAUUGUUCUAACUGCUUCCGAAAAGAGAAGCGAAGCUUAUCUAAGGAAAACACCAGAUAACACAUGGAAGCCACCUCAAUCUGAACAUGGGCUUCUGCAAGAGAAUCAUGCACAUGAUCCCUGGAGAGUGUUGGUGAUAUGCAUGCUCCUUAAUUGCACGACUGGUACACAGGUGAACCAGAAUAAUUUUGUCCUCCAUAAGCAGCAGCCCGUGAAUUUGUGUUACCAAUCAGUUCCAUAAAUGGUUUUCUGGCACCAUAAUGGAAAACUCGCUUUUUUAGCGGCUAAAGCAUGUUGAUGAGCAUCCUCUAUAUUGUGUAAACAAACUACUCCCGCCUCAUCUCUAAUAGACUGACUUAAACUGGUUCGGAGAGUUAUAGAAGAUCUCUUCACUUUAUGUCCCAGUGCAGAGGCUGCCAUUAACGUCAUGAAAGAGGAGAUUGAAAGAAUAAUAGAACCUCUGGGCUUGCAGAAGAAGAGGGCAGUGAUGAUACAACGCAUGUCUCAGGAGUAUUUGGAAGAUCACUGGACCCAUGUUACCCAGCUGCAUGGCGUGGGAAAGUAUGCUGCUGAUGCGUAUGCAAUAUUCUGUACGGGGAAGUGGGAUCAGGUGCGUCCCGCUGAUCACAUGCUAAAUUAUUACUGGGAGUUUCUAGGUAGAAUCAACAAUGCUUCAUCGUAGAUAUUAUUUUUGUUUAUUUAAGUUAAUUUGAUUUUUGAUGUAAAUAUAGAUCCCUCUUAACUUUUGGGUAGUGUUAGAAAGGAAGGAAGGUUAUUUUUUUGAAGGGGAAUUCUUUCAAUUCAUGAGGAUAGGACUUGAUGAAUUUUUGUUGGUAAAUGAGGAAUAGGACUUACUUUUGCUUAACGCCACAAUCUCUGACAUAUGAACUCCUCUCAAAAACUGUAGAGGAUAGAGGGAGUUGUAGUGUCAGUCAAUGCAACAUAAAAUUCCUAUUUUGAGGCAAAAUUUGUUGAUGUAUUGAAUUUAUUUAUAAACCAAUGUUAAAUGUCACCCAAAAAUUCUAGGAAUUUUUUGAUGUAUAAAACAAAUAUUGUGACA